AGCGAACCAGGACAUAGAAAGAAAUGUACCCAGGACGAGCGCUGUUAAAAUACUUUCAUUCCUGAACUUCAUCUCAUGCCAGAAACACACAAAGCGAACAGUGUGCAUAGACUUGGUGACCAACAAACUUCAGUCUCACUUGCAAACAUGAUCUCACCUCUGGCUGCUUUCCCUGGAAACAGACUGAGUACACUGUCGGGAACCCAUCCACCAAUGGACAGAAUGCAACUGCAGACUUGUCACCAGACCCUUGAAGCUUCCAUCUAUCAGCAGCUUACAAGAGCAGCCCCUCCAUUUGAACAUGACUUGCUACGACUGGUUUAGUGAGUUCUAAGAUGGCUGACAAAUCUGCUGUAUGAACUGCAAACUCUACCACAUGUGAGAUUCUGAAAGUCUUUUCUGUGUACUUACACCCCAAGGACUACAGUGGUUCAAGAAGAGGGCUCACCACCGUCUUCUCAAGGACAGUUUGGAAUGGGCAACAAAUAGCCAGUGGCACUCACAGUCUGUGAAUGCAUUUUAACAAAAAGUAAAUGUCGCCAACUUAAAAUGGACAUAUUUCUGGAUGUUUCUUCAUAGCAUUCUACUACCCAGCAUUCCUGUCAGUGGACAACUGACACAGCUGCCCUUCAAUUUCACAUACCAAUUGGAAAGCAAUCACAUUCUUCAUUGUGCAGUUGAAUGAAUCUUGACUGUUACUGCAACAGCUUUU